GACGAAUGCUGGCUGCGUGCUUAACACAUGCAAGUCGAACGGUGAAAGGGAGCUUGCUCCCUGGAUCAGUGGCGAACGGGUGAGUAACACGUGGGCAACCUGCCCCUCACUCUGGGAUAACUCCGGGAAACCGGGGCUAAUACCGGAUACGACCUGGUGCGACAUCGCACCGGGUGGAAAGCACUUCGGUGAGGGAGGGGCCCGCGGCCUAUCAGCUUGUUGGUGGGGUAACGGCCCACCAAGGCGACGACGGGUAGCCGGCCGGAGAGGGCGACCGGCCACACUGGGACUGAGACACGGCCCAGACUCCUACGGGAGGCAGCAGUGGGGAAUAUUGCGCAAUGGGCGAAAGCCUGACGCAGCGACGCAGCGUGAGGGACGAAGGCCUUCGGGUUGUAAACCUCUUUCAGCGGGGACGAAGCGAAAGUGACGGUACCCGCAGAAGAAGCACCGGCUAACUACGUGCCAGCAGCCGCCGUAAAAC
rnacentral:rRNA from 1 species